GUUUUUGCAGUAAUUAGAGAAUAGAUUCAUUCCUCUUUGCAGUGAAGCAGGAAACUGCAAGAACUUUACGAGACAAGAAAACGAUGUCGUCGAAGCGGAGUCAUACGACGGAGCUAGGCUGCGUAGCUUGCCAGGAGCUGGGCGACCUUGGUGCAGGAAAGGAAAGGUGGCUGGUCGAAAACCCUAACCUUCUCUGCGCUCUUGACACCCAUUCCCUUGCCCUCGCAAAUCGAUCUCUCAUCUUAAUUACGGGUUGGGACGAUAGGCCCCGCCUCAAGAUCCGACCCGAGUUAUCUCCCAUAGAGUCCGAGUCCAUCACGGCUCUGGAGUGGUUGGUCUUUGACGAGAUUCGCGUGAUUGCGGUGGGCACCUCUUGUGGGUAUUUCUUGGUUUAUUCUUUGGAAGGCCAGUUGGUUCAUAGACAGAUGGUGUAUCCUGGGCGCAUUCUGAAAAUAAGACUCCGUGGAACUAAGAAAGAUUUGACCCAUCAAACAUCAUCCUCAGAGGAGAUUUCUAUUGUUAGUGGUGGUGUAAUUGCUCGUUUCGAUGGCUCUGAUAUUCAGAAUAUGCUGCAAGAAUGGUUUCAAGAAACUCAUUCUCAGUUUUGGGAUGAAAAGCCCAAGAAGAGAGAUUCAGAUGCUUUAGAAAAUACACACAAGAGAUUACCUUAUCAGUUGUGGAAUGUUAACAAAUAUGGGUCGUGUGCUGAUGCAGCUAUCACCGGCAUAAUGCCCCCUCCACUUAUGGAGAUCCAGUCAAGUCAACAAUACUACUGUGGAAUCACUAUUGGAGAAGACGCUGUAAUUUCAGCUUACAGACUUUCAGAAAACAGAAGCAAGUCUCUUGUGGGAGCUAUUCUUUCAAAAGUUGUGCCUGCUACAUUCUCAACAAUAGCUUCUUUCUCCAAAAUGAUAUGGCGAAGUGAGCAAACAUCAACCAAAAAGUCAGAAGCAAAGCCUCAGUCAUUUGCUAAAGCUUCUCCCUUGACAUGUAUAAAGGAUCACCCAAGGAAAGGUGAAAAGCUUACACUAUCACCAAGUGGAACAUUGGCUGCGAUAACAGAUUCACUUGGUCGUAUAUUGCUCUUAGAUACUCAAGCACUUGUGGUUGUGCGACUAUGGAAGGGAUAUCGUGAUGCUUGCUGUUUCUUUAUGGAGAUGCUUGUGAAAAGGGACAAUGCAGAGGCUAGCACCUCUUAUUAUGAACCAUCAAAGAGUGAUUAUUGCCUCUGUCUAGCAAUUCAUGCGCCUAGGAAAGGAAUCGUUGAGGUAUAUUCCUCCUUUUUAUUAAUGUUAUUUCCACUCUCUUAGUGGAUGAGGUGUUCUUUUCUUAUAUUUUACCAAUUUAAAGAUUUCACUUGGUGAGGAAUGCUGUUUGAGAAAUUACCUUUGAAAUGGUUUUUGUAUUAAAAACAUUAACCUUUAUUUAUGCAUAAAUGAAAGCCCUCUAUCAAAUCUGCACUCUCUUGCCCUCUUAGAUACACAAAUAUACACACAGCCACACAGUCAAUGUGGAUGCACGUCACAUCCUUGGGCAUCAUGAUGACCUUAUGGAAGAAACAUAGUGCGCAGAGCACUAUUGACGAUCCUUCCCCAUGAGAUCAUUUUAGAGUUUGUGUUUUUGUCCUUGGAUUUGAUGCUUCAACAAUGAUACAAGUCCCAUAGACCUUGCCAUUCAUUUUUUUCCCAAAUUGCUUUUUAACAUUGGCUUCUAAAACCAGUCCUCAUGAGACAUAACCUGGCCAUCUGCUGGCCACUGCUGCAUGCAAGAUGUUUCUGGGACUUAUUUUAUCAGGGAUUUAGUUUUUUAUUCUUAUGAGGUCUAACUUGCCUCAACUGAUCAUCUUAUUAUUUAGUUCCAUGUGGUAACAUGAUCAGUUGAGCCAUGCUUAUCUGUUAGUUUAUUUAUUUUGUAUUUCCUGUUUAAUACAUACUUGCAGCCUCAGCCCUCACUUUCCCCACCUAAAAUAAUAAUAAUAAAUAAAUAAAAUCCAAGUUGUUACAGCAUAUUCUAUGCAUCCAGAGUCUGGUUUGCUUGACUGUCAUUCUCCUUCAAGCUGGAGAGUAGCCUUUUAUUUGAUAGAUUAUCAAAUAUAUGCAAACUAUACUUUGUGAUGUUGCUUGUACUAUGAAUUUUCUGAGUGUGUUCAAUAUAUGAACCUGCAUAUGUUUGUAUUCAUCGAACAAUACAUGCAGGUCUGGCCGAUGAGAACUGGACCACGUCUUUUAACAAUUCAGUGUGCCAGGGGUAGUAAGUUACUUCAGCCUACUUAUAGGUUUGGAUCAUCGUUAGACUCUCCAUAUGUUCCUCUGGAAUUGUUCUUGUUGAACGGAGACUCUGGUCAAUUGUCAGUUUUAAACCGGUCUCUUCAUUGAAUCGCUAUAAGACCAUUCUUCGAUCUUAAUGUUCAUUCUUUCACGUCUUUAGAAAUAUAUAUACAUAUUUUUGCUAUAUAAUAUAGUGGAUGCUUAGAUGGUGUAUAAAUUGAAGGUGGGUUUAGAAUGAAUACCGCAUUUAGUGAUCAGAACCUUUUCGGUUUUCCCAUGUUCCGGUUGGGAGAAAAACAAAAACGUGCCUUGUCAGACAUCUAAGAGCAAUUUCUUUCUUAUUCAGAGAAAUGAAAAGGUAACCGCAAUUACAAAAUUUGAUAUGUGAAUUUGAUAUGUGAAGCACUCUGGAAAAUUACUGGAACUAAUAGUCCUCAAAAUGAGCUGCUUCGAGUGGGAAAUCCAUUGAAGAAUUGUUUGCCUAAACAUCAAUGUUCUUCCUUGGUCGCUUGCUGAAACAAAUCACAAUGUGUUAGCUACGAAAUUUCCUCGUCUGAACAAGAAAAUGAAAUUGGGAAAUUUGGGUUGGCAGCCAUUCCAAGUUCUAACCAUGGUUCAGUUCCUCAUGCAUGUCGAAGCUGCAAGGAUUGAGUUAGUUAAGGGGAGAAUUAUUCCAAAUUUUGAAAACUAGAUCAAUGUCUAUGUUUA
rnacentral:misc_RNA from 1 species